rnacentral:rRNA from 1 species
GAUGAACGCUGGCGGCGUGCUUAACACAUGCAAGUCGAACGGGAAAUCUUUCAUUGAGCCUUCGGUGGAUUUGAUUUAUUUCUAGUGGCGGACGGGUGAGUAACGCGUGGGUAACCUGCCUUAUACAGGGGGAUAACAGUCAGAAAUGGCUGCUAAUACCGCAUAAGCGCACAGAGCUGCAUGGCUCAGUGUGAAAAACUCCGGUGGUAUAAGAUGGACCCGCGUUGGAUUAGCUAGUUGGUGGGGUAACGGCCCACCAAGGCGACGAUCCAUAGCCGGCCGGGGAGGGGGAACGGCCAGAUUGGGACUGAGACACGGCCCAGAAUCCUACGGGAGGCAGCAGUGGGGAAUAUUGCACAAUGGGGGAAACCCUGAUGCAGCGACGCCGCGUGAAGGAAGAAGUAUCUCGGUAUGUAAACUUCUAUCAGCAGGGAAGAUAGUGACGGUACCUGACUAAGAAGCCCCGGCUAACUACGUG